UGGGGAAUCUUCCGCAAUGGACGAAAGUCUGACGGAGCAACGCCGCGUGAGUGAAGAAGGCCUUCGGGUCGUAAAGCUCUGUCAUCAGGGACGAACGGUCACGUCAGGAAAUGGGCGUGAAUUGACGGUACCUGAGAAGGAAGCCACGGCUAACUACGUGCCAGCAGCCGCGGUAAUACGUAGGUGGCGAGCGUUGUCCGGAAUUAUUGGGCUUAAAGCGCGCGCAGGUGGGAUCUUAAGUCUGUUCUGAAAGUUCGGAGCUUAACUCCGUGAUGGGAUGGAAACUGAGAUUCUUGAGUAUCGGAGAGGAAAGCGGAAUUCCCCGUGUAGCGGUGAAAUGCGUAGAUAUGGGGAGGAACACCAGUGGCGAAGGCGGCUUUCUGGACGAUGUCUGACACUGAGGCGCGAAAGCCAGGGGAGCGAACG
rnacentral:rRNA from 1 species